rnacentral:lncRNA from 1 species
CUUUCAAAUUUCCUUUUUCUCAAUUCUCUUCCUCAGUAUCUAUAUUUCUUGAAGAUCAUGGCCUCUAUGGUAGCUGAUAAUUGGGAAUCCAUUGUUUGUUACGAUGAUUUCAUCAAAAAUGAAAGUUCAGAUAUUGAUCAGAACACUCUCAUGUCUCUACUCGAUGAAUCACAUAACGAAGAUUGUGAUGAUGAAAGAUUAACAAAUGUGAUCAGAUCUCUAGAGGCUGAAAUCGCGCCCAACAAUACAGAUUGUUAUUUAUCUAAUAAUCUCAAAUUGGAGAGUGAUCCAAUAGAGUGCCAAUCAUCAAGUGAUGAGUCAACAAAUGAGCAGAAUUUCUCAAAAUUGCAUGAUCUCGACUUCCAAUGGAUGGAUUUGGAGAUGGUCCCUUCUUCACCUACUGGUGGCAUGGCAAGUUGGUACAUGGGUUCCUAUGAACAAGAGAUGGAUGCAAUGACAGAAUUUGAUGGGCUAAUAUUUUAUUCACAGAUUAGUCAUGAAACUCCAUUAAUGGAACAGCAUGAUUUUGGCCUUUUAUGGCAAGAAACAAAUGACUCACAGAUGAAAAAUUGAAAGUUAUGUACAUAAUUUAUUAUGGAUUAG